CCUACGGGAGGCUGCAGUGGGGAAUAUUGCACAAUGGGGGAAACCCUGAUGCAGCGACGCCGCGUGAGUGAAGAAGUAUUUCGGUAUGUAAAGCUCUAUCAGCAGGGAAGAAAAUGACGGUACCUGAUUAAGAAGCCCCGGCUAACUACGUGCCAGCAGCCGCGGUAAUACGUAGGGGGCAAGCGUUAUCCGGAUUUACUGGGUGUAAAGGGAGCGUAGACGGCAGGACAAGUCUGGAGUGAAAUGCCGGGGCUUAACCCCGGGACUGCUUUGGAAACUGUGCAGCUGGAGUGCAGGAGAGGUAAGUGGAAUUCCUAGUGUAGCGGUGAAAUGCGUAGAUAUUAGGAGGAACACCAGUGGCGAAGGCGGCUUACUGGACUGUAACUGACGUUGAGGCUCGAAGGCGUGGGGAGCAAACAGGAUUAGAUACCCGGGUAGUC
rnacentral:rRNA from 1 species